GACGAACGCUGGCGGCGUGCUUAACACAUGCAAGUCGAACGGAAAGGCCCUGCUUUUGUGGGGUGCUCGAGUGGCGAACGGGUGAGUAACACGUGAGUAACCUGCCCUUGACUUUGGGAUAACUUCAGGAAACUGGGGCUAAUACCGGAUAGGAGCUCCUGCUGCAUGGUGGGGGUUGGAAAGUUUCGGCGGUUGGGGAUGGACUCGCGGCUUAUCAGCUUGUUGGUGGGGUAGUGGCUUACCAAGGCUUUGACGGGUAGCCGGCCUGGGAGGGUGACCGGCAACAUGGGGCCGGAGUGAGGCCCCGGACUCGGAGGGGGGAAACAAGGGGGGAGUAUGGAACAGGGGGCGGAGGCCGAAGGCGGCAACCCCGCGUGCGGGAUGCCGGCUUGCGGUUUGAAAACCGCUUCCGCCUGGGACGAAGGGGGAGUGACGGUAAGGGGAAAAGAAGCACGGGCAAACUACGUG
rnacentral:rRNA from 1 species